rnacentral:lncRNA from 1 species
CUAAAUUUGGGACUGCCACAUCCCGGCAGCCUGAGUGGGACCCACAGUGCUGAUGCACUGCGCGGAGCUAUGGGGUUUUUGCUUCCUGCCCCACCUCUGGAGUCUCAGCACCCCCCCAACCCUUUUCCUAUGAAGAAAACCCCCUCAGCCAUCCGCAGCGAUCCCGGGGAGGGGGCAACCGGGGGGGGCAGCGCUGAGUUUUAUUGAAGUGGGAGUUCAAAUAAUAAAAUGGGGAUGGGAGGCGCGGGUUGGGGGGGGGGGGCUCAGGGCUGGGGGCCGCGUGCCCCCCGAGGUAGCGCUCGCGGAUCUGGGCCAGGCUGGCACUGAGGCCGCCCAACGCCUGAGCGAUGCUGCGCAGCACCGCUGCCAUCUCCCGGCGGCUCUCGGCGCACUCCCGGCGGAAGGCGCGCACCUCCUGCACCAGCCGCUCGUUGCAGCGGAUGAGGCGCAGCUCGGCCGGGCUGAGCCGGGCGCUGCUUUCGGGGGUCCCGUCCGUCGUGCCGGGGGUUCCCCCCGUUUCGCCGCAGUCACUGAGCCGUUCGGCGUCCGGCUCGAAGAUGACGCUGCCGGGGAAGUCGCAGCCCGGAGGUUCCGGCUGUAUCCCCAGGUCGGGCUGGGGGGGCUGCGGGGGGCUCCAGCCCUCGCCGGGGCUGUGGGUGCUGCUGCGGGGCUGCCGACGCGCCGGGACGGUGCCGCCGUCCGUGGGGUCAUGGAAGGGCUCCGUCUUCACCUCCACCGGUUCCUCCUUCACCGCCUCCUCCUUCACACCAUCCCACCCCGCUCCGUUCCCGCACGCACCGCGCGGUGCCGCCCUUUCCCCUCCGAGCAGCGGCGCCGCUUCGCCGCCGCGCGGUCCCCAUACGGGCGCGGGUCCGGGGCCGAGCUCGGCGGCGGCGGUGCCGGUUCCGGCGGCGGCCCCGUGGUGCCGUGCGGCGCCGGGUCGCGGUGCCGGGCCCUGCCGCUCCUGCCGGUGCCGGGUGAUUUUAUCGUUGGCGCGGCGGCGCAGCCCCCUCCAGCGGUUCUUCACCUCGCCGAUGUCGCGCUGGUUGCGGCCGGCGGCGUUGAUCUUAUUGGUGAUGCGCCACCAGAUCUUCUGCUUCUCGUAGGCGUUCACGGUGCUGGCGGCGGCGCCGAAGAGCAGCGGUUCGUAGCGGAGCACUUCGCUCAUCAGGAUCUCGAUCUCCUGCAGCGUGAAGUUGGGCUUCCGCUUCAGCAGCCCCCGCCGCGCCGCGCCGCCCGCCGCCGCCAUGCUGCCCGCCGCCCCCUCAUGCCGCCGCCCCGCCGCCCAUCGCCCCCCCUUCCCCCCCCCCACCCCGGCACCGCCGCCCCUUUGUCUGCGCCGCCGCCGCCGCCGCACCGAGCGGCCGCCGCCGCGGGAGCGGAGCGGGGCGGGGGGGGGGGGCGGCAGCGCGGCGGGGCGGGGCGGGCGGCGGCACCGCGACCUCUGCCGGCGGUGCGCCCCCCGCGGUGUGGCUCCCCCUGCUGGCAGCCUCCGGUACUGCCGGGAGCGGCCCGGGCCGGUACUGCCCCGCGCGGUGUGGCGCCCCCUGGCGGUCGCGUCGUGCAGCCCCGCGGGGUAUUUUCGGAGCGGCCCCGACGGCCUCACCG